rnacentral:lncRNA from 1 species
GCCAUAAUAUGAAAUUCAGAAAAUAGGCAUGAUAACAAUGAAUUGUGACAGAACUCUUUGGGCUUUAUUUUCUUUUUCGUUUCCAGGAAUGAAGAAAAGUAUUUAUCAAAUUUUAUAGAGGAAAAUAUUGGGGUGCAUUUAGAAAACAAUAUUGUAGGCAAAUCACCCGAGAGCUGCAUCUUCCAACAUAUCAAUGUCGUACAAUGAGGUUAGUUCUGUUUCACCAUGUUCUUCACAAAUAUCGUGAUCACAAGCAUCUUCGACAUAUCCGGAUUGCUUCAUCUGUUCAAUGAGCAACUUCAAUAGAUAAUGUAUUUCCUUGCAUUGAGGAUGCCUUUUAUCUUUCACCAUGAAAACAUGCACACGACCCUGUAUCUCAAUCCAACUGCAACCUGGCUGCUUGAUAACUCCCCGUUGCCUCAUCAGCUUUCUUACUGUUACAACAUCACCCCAUCUCCCGAGCUCGGCGUACAUGUUUGAGAGAAGAACAUAAGGUCCAGAGUUCCUAGGUUCAAUAUCUAAGAUCUUCUCCGCCACAUACUUCCCUAAGGUAAUGUUACGAUGAACUUUACAAGCAGCAAGCAAAGACCCCCAUAUAACAGCAUCAGGUUGCAUUGGCAUGACCUCUAUUAAAUGUUUGGCUUCAUCAAGGCAACCAGCUCGACCAAGUAGAUCAACCAUACAUGUAUAAUGGUCCUUCAAUGGUACCAAACCAUGCUCUUCACUCAUAGAGUAAAAAUAUUCUUUUCCUUCAUCAACCAACCCUGCGUGGCUACAAGCGCAUAGAACACCAAUCAUAGUGACAUGGUCAGGUUGCUCCCCAGAUGCCAACAUUUUUCUAAAUAUUUCGAGAGCUUCAGUCCCAUAACCAUUUUGUGCAUACCCCACAAUCAUGGCAUUCCAGGAGACAUAAUCCCUUUCCAACAUACUUUUAAACACCCGACAUCCAUCUUCAAUGGAUCCACAUUUCAUGUACAUAUCUAUUAGAGAAUUUCCCACAAAAAUAUCAGGCUCUUCCCCAACCUGGAACUUAAAUCCGUGUUUCAAUAAGUGUACAUGAGCCUGCCUGCCAAGCUGCAGAUCAACUAGACUUGCACAAGCAUUGAGUAGAUUCCCAAAUGUAUAGUGGGUUGGCAAAACAGACUCCCUCUUCAGGAGGAGAAAGAGUCCAACAGCCUCUUCAUUUUCCCCAUUUUGUGUGUACCCUGAAAUAAGUGCAUUCCAAGAGACUAUAUUCCUUUCCAUCAUCUUUGCAAACAUCAAUCUUGCAGCUUUUACGCUUGCCGCUUUUGCAUAUCCACUUACCAUUGAUGUUUCGGAGACAACAUUUCUAACAGGCAUCCCAUCAAAAAUCCAUCUGGCUUGCUUUAAUCUAUUGCAUUUUGCAUACAUAUCAACCAACGCAUUGCCUAAAACAAGAUCAUCCCUGUAUUUGUCACAUUUUAUGACAUGAGCAUAUAUUUGCUGACCUUCCUUUAUUGCAGACAAGCUUGCACAUGCACUAACCACACUGGCUAAAGUUAACUCAUCUGGUUUGAACCCACCAUCCAUCAUCCUCACAAAAACUUCUAGGGCUUCACUCGCUGGACCAUUCUGCUCAUAACAAGUAAUCAAACUGUUCCAAGAAACUGUAUUCCGGUCACUCAUCCAAUCAAAAACUCUUUGUGCAGAAGCAACACUCCCACAUUUAGAGUACAUAUCAAUAAGUGCAGAUCCCAUAUAAACAUCUGACGAGUAACAUGACUUAGCAAUAAAAGCAUGAAUUUGGACACCCAUUUUCAACUUUCUCAAACCUGCACAAGCACUAAGAGCACUACCGAACGAGUAUUCAUUAAGCACAAAAUCCUCCACAUGCAAUUUGACAAAGUACUCCAAAGCUUCUUCAAAGCGAUCAUGCUGGGCAAACCCUGAUACCAUCGAAUUCCACGAGCACUGGUCAGGCUCAGGCAUUAACCUAAAAAUCUGCACAGCGUCAUCAAUAAAACCCAACUUCGUUAAUGUACUUAUGAUGGAGUUCCAAGUGAAAGUGUUCCUUUGAGGCAUUUUAUCAAACAAUUUACGUGCAUCGUCCAAACAACCACAUUUUCCAUAAGCAUCAAUAAGCCUAUUCUGGAUAAAAAUCUCUGAGGAAAAUUGGGUUUUGAUGACACGAGCGUGGAUGCGAUGUGCAUCGCGUGCUGACUUGGUUCGAAUGCAUGAAUCCAAGAGCUUCGCAAAGGGUGUAGAGUCGAGGAAAGAGAGGUCACCCACAAGUUGUUUGAACAAUCCAUGUCUAGUUCCCAUUCCAUUAUCUUUGCUACAAUCAAUUAAGCAGCAUUGAAAUGAGAAUACAUGAAUCUAUGUCUCCUACAAGGUGGAAAGAAUAAAUGUAUCAAUGUCAUUUUAAAAUUAACUCAUGAAUGAAGAUUAGAAAGAUUAGAAAGAGUAUGCUAGAGGAAGCAAGAGAGCACAUGUCAUUGUAUUCUUAAUUAUUUGGGAGAAAUUUAAUCACUCAUGAACUGUAUGCUUGAUAUAUACUUGUUUUACUGAAAGUAUGAAAUAGUUGGGUUACAUUGGUUAGACAAAAAAAUGCAGAAGUUGCAAGAAAGAUGAAUGGCUCCAGAAUCAUCACCCAACCAAGACUUGCAGCAUAACAAGACAUAGUAAACACAGUAAGAGCUUAUCUCAUAUGGUAAUACAACUAUUAUGAGUAACUAAGAUAAGAACAUAGCAUAUGCCAAAAUAUUCGUUCGGUUUUUAAAUAUCAAGAUUGCUAAUAACCAUGAAAUUCUUCUCUUAUAUGGUCAAUAUGCAUUAAAAUAACAGCCCAAGUGAACUCAAAUAGGCGUAAAAGGGGACAUUUCCAUAUAAAUGAUUGGCCCUGCCCAAUGUUACAACAAGUUGAUCUUAUUAUUCUAAAAAAAAUCCAACAUAAAUGCAAGUUAGCUGUGAUCAUGAUACAACAAACAAAAGAUAACUGAACUAAUUCAACGAAGAAAUCUAUACAUCUGAUUCUUAGGAAACCACUGAAAUCCAGAAGCUCUGAUACCAUAUUAAAGUCCAACUACUAACAAAACCCGAAAAGGUUGUUCGAGAACAAACCAACACUAAUGGAACUGUGAGAGAUUAAGCUAAAGGCUCAAAUAGUAUUUAGUAUCAGCAGUGGAUUGGGCUUCCCUGCUCCUACUGACAACAACAAAUGUACGUCUGGUUUGCUGAACUUUAAGAGAAAUCCAACCCCCAUAAUUAAGACAACAUAGACAGAACGAACCACCAAUGACAGCCCCAAAUUUCAAACAGAAACUAACCCAGUUAAUGUUUCAGCUUCAGUAGACAAGGAUGAAAUUAUUAAACAGAAAAUUACAGUUCCAUUAAGUCCGGUGUUAGCUUGGGGAACCCAGUGAAUUAAUUAACUGAGAAAAAGAAACGACUUGAUUAACUGCAAUUGAAAGAGAAGCUGACCUAGGAUUUUUUAGUCAGUUGAGAACAAAUAGCAAUUACAGCGACUGCAAUUGAAUAUCCAAAUUCCAGGUUUCAGACGAAAACGACGACAUCACAGCGAGCUUACUUACUGGAGUUGGGACUUCCUUCUUCCUCCUAUCAGAGGAGGGAAGAACCAAUCCAAGGCACAGUUGUCUUAUUAAGUCCUUUUUAUUGGCGCAAAUUUGGGCCCAAACUGUACGCAAUGCAACAACACAAACCCUGGUUUGGUUAUUGUUACUGAAAUAUGGAUGGUGCCGUGACAGUUUGGGGCAUCCCAAAAAUGAGAAAUGACAUCGAGGAGAGAGAAGGAGGAAGCUCACCUGGUGAGAGAGCAGAGAGCAGAAUGAGAAUCAAAGAAUGGGAGCCCAAGGUUUAGACAGGGUUUAGGGAUGAAGCAAUUUCGCCUCACACCGAACAAACGACGGCGUACGACUUUGGUACACCGUCGGAUGGAAUUAACGGCUAAGAUUACUCCCCUCUUGCGCGCGCUUUCUCAACUCGCACCAUUUAUGAUUGUGCAACUUCAUCUCCAUAACCAUAGUUCGAUGUUGUUAUGUAUAUAUGAGUGGCUAGGAGGACAUGACGAAUCACAUAGUUUUUAUUGUAUAUAGCCAAAAUUUAUUCUAUAUUUUCACCAAUGUCAAUUUUUAUAAAAAUUUUCAAAUAUCACGAAAAAUUCUCUUACACAUGCACAACUGUAUACGUAUUGCGGCCAUGGUCAAACUACCGCAAAUGAUGUUCUUUGUUUCUUCUUUUCUUUGACAUUGUACAUUGUAGGAAGUAAGAAUUGACAUAUGCAUCAAUUAAUUUAGGUGCAUUUUGAUGGGGCGAUGGUGUUGAUUGAGACAGAACAAAGCAUAAGAUAUAAACAACAAAGGGUUAAUGACCUAAAUGGUCCUUCAACUAUUGCUCUAGUAUCAUUUUGGUCAACCAACUAAAAUUUUCAUUUGAAACGUCCUUAAACUUUUUAUUUUAUACCAAGAUGAUCCAUCCGUCAAAGUGUGUAUUAUUCCGUGAAAUCGAGGGACAAAAUCGUAUUUUUAGGUGAGUAUCCUCCUUUAAAAGGGUUAUUGAUCCCAAUGGUCCUCCAACUAUUGCUCCAGUAUCAUUUUGGUCCACCAACUAAAAUUUUCUUUGAACCGUCCUUUAACUCUUUUUUUUUUAUUUUUUUUAUAUCAAGAUUGUCCUACUGUUAAAGUCUGUCAAUUUUAUUGUUAAUUUGAGGGGUAAAAAUGUCUCUAUGAAAUAAAAUAGUAAUAUAUAAUUAAAAAUUAAAGGAAACUAUUAUAAAACUUAGAAAAUUUUAAAAAAUUGAAUCUCACAAGCCACAUGCCUUUUUUUUUUUUCCCUGUGAAACUGACCUAACAAUUAAUAAUACAAAAUUCUCUAUUGUUUAAAUUAAUUAAAAUUACAUAAAUUUAAAAAUAAAAUAACAAAUUUUUUAAAAGAGCAAACAAUAAUUAAAAAUUAAAGAAAACUAUUAUAGAAACUUGUACUUAAUUUUAAAAUUGAAAAAAUUGAAUUUCACCACCAACAUGGCUUUUUUUUGCUAACAUGGACUUAAAAAGUACUAGUUUUUUUCUCUCAAUUAAUUAAAAAUUUUAAAAUAAAAUAAAUACAAAAAUAAAUAAAUAUAAAAUUGACGAACUUUGACGGUAGGACCAUUUUGAUACCAAAAAAAAGAAAAGGAAGAACGGUUCAAAUGAAAAUAUUAGUUGGUGGUCCAAAAUGAUAUUGAAGCAAUAGUUGAUGGACCAUUUCAGUUAUUAAUCCUUUUUAAAAAUAAUAUUUCACUUUUUUGCCCUUCAAUUUAACGAAAUAUUUGACAGACUUUGACGGUAGGACCAUCUUGAUACAAAAAUAAAGAGUUAAAGGACGGUUCAAAUAAAAAUUUUAAUUUGUAGACCAAAAUGAUAUUGGAGCAAUAGUUGAGGUAACAUUGAAAUCAAUAAUCCAAACAACAAACCACUUGAAUACUAAGACAGAGAUAACAUUAAGCAUUUAUCCUUAUUCAUAUGAAAGUCGGUCAGAGGUUUCACAUUAAUAUUCAGUGCCUGCUUAGAAACAUUUUACAUAGAGCUACUACUAGCAACAGCAUUCAGCAUUCAACAGCCUGCUUAGAACAAGCCUUUUCUUUUCUUGAAAAGUAAAAUAGAAUGUUGGGCGUAAACGGAGAGGAAAUACGACUUGAGCAUGCUCUCAUCUCAUGGCGCCCCAAACACCUACAAGGCAAAUUUUAAAAAACACAAAUAUAAUUAGAUAGAGAUUAACAAAUUCAUUAAGCAAUGACAAAGAAAAUCAAAUUCAUAGAUCUCACUCUUUUUUUUUAUAAAAAAAGAUAUUCCACUUUAAUCUAAUCUAAAUUACGCAGAAAGUGAUGCGAAUUUGGGUGCAGAAGCACAUCUGCUUUAGCCAACCCUCUCUCGUACAUUUAUUUAAUUUAUGCAAAAAUAAUUUAUUAAAAUUAUAAAAUAAAUAUUUCUGCAUAAAAUAUCAGAUCAUCAAAAGUUGAUGAAACAAAAUGCACAGGAAGAUGAUGGAUUACCAGAAUAUUAUAAAUUAGUCGCUGUCGCUGCUGCUGCUGUCAUGGCCAUCCUUCUUCUUGUCCUUCUUCUUCUUCUUCUUCUUGUCGUCUUUGUCUUUCUCUUUGUGAUCGCCGUCUUUCUUGUGGUGUUCGUCUUUCUUGUCCUUGUGGUGUUCGUCUUUCUUGUCCUUGUGGUGCUCACCUUCCUUCUUGUGCUCCUCGUCUUUCUUGUGCUCGUUACCUCCUCCUCCUAUGUGGAGGGCGUCUCCAAUCUUGUGAACGAUUCCUGCCAUUGUUACUCUCUUUCUCUCUCUAGAAAAUAUAAAUGGAUUUUGAUCUUUUGUGAAGGGAGAGACGUGAAGAUGCCUUUUUAUAAGGGAAACACACAAAACCUUUCAUUUUCCUUUUAUUUUAUUUUAUUUUUUAUUAUAAGGGCCUAUUUGGUACAACGAAGCACGUUUCUUACGACGUUUGGUAGAAAAAUUUGAAAUUGCCUUUGUAGAAGCACCUUGAGUGCUUUUUUAGGAAUUACUCCCAAAUGUUUUUUUUUAAAGGCAUUCUAAUAGAAGCGUAUAUAAAAAUAAAAAUAAAAGCGCUUAUGAGUAGAAUCGCUUUUAUCCAAUUUGAGCGUUGGGCGGUGUAACUGGUUUGACUGAAAUUACAAAAAUGCCCACGGCCAAUUAGGUCCAUACAACGUUUGAAAAUGCGAUAUUAAAGUAAGAGAAAAGAAGAGGUUUGUCUCAGUCUCCAUCACCCGAUAUGCCACAUCUUUCGGAUGUCGGUAAGAUCGUCUUAACUUAAACUAAUUAUAUAUGACUAUUCUUUUUGUUCCCCGUUGGCCAUGUUUUGUCCAUAAUCCAUCAGCCGUGCCAAUUAGGUAUUUGACUCUAGGCCGUGAGUAUACGGUGUCAACGCCAUAGCUUAUGAAGAAUCAUUUAAACAAAAUGACUAAUGCAACAAGCUAUUAAUAAAGACAACAGAUGUCGAAUGGGAUCAAGACGACCUGCCCUAUUAUCAUGUGUAGGAGGAGAACAACUUCCCUCAAUCUGGUAUGUUCGUUGGAGGUUUUUUCGUGUACGAAGGAAUCGAGUCAUCAACCUAUCUUAAUUCUAACUUAUUAACUUGUCUUAUUUCGCUCCAAUUAUUGAAACUUUUUAUUUUCUAUGUUCCCGUCUUUAAACAAAAGCUAUUUAAUAUCUGAAAAUGACUUACAUUAUCUUUGAAAUAUGGUGUUCCUUGCGUUGAAUUAUGUUUGCACCCAAUACUCUAUCGUUUCGGGACUUGUAAGUCACAAGUUUUGAAUUUGGCAUUUGGUAAUUAGAAUUCAAGUGAACACGGUGUUAGCAUAAAACAACAUUUCAAAGCAGUGAAUUUGAAGGUGAAAAAGAAUCGUAGAUUGGGAAAAGCAAAAGCUCUACAAAAAGAUUUUGCCAACACUUUGGAUAAGCAAGAAUCUUUCUGACAUUUUGCUAUCAUAACUUUCAACAACGAUCCUUAAAUAACGCUACUGAAACUUGCGUCCACCCACCAAUAGCAUUAAUCUCAUGAUUUUCACCAGGUAUGAAUCUAUGUUCCAGUGUUUGACACGUGUACGGUGAAUAACUUGCCGACAUUUCAAGUAGCCUUAUCCUGUUGUAAGAAACAUGAUAACUCUAUGUAACCAUCACUUUGGCCCACUGUAUCAAUGUUGUCUUUAUCAUCAAACUUUUUCAGAUAUCCUAUCCUAUCUUAUCUUCAAUGAAAAUGAAAGUUUUUAAUUUUUUUUUUUCUUUCUUGUUCUAGAUACAGACCCAGUAAUUUUAUCUUCUUUUUUGUUUGACUCUUCUGUUUAAUCAAUAAGAUGGCUGAUAGUCUUUCUUCUUCUGAUGUUCUGUUUUUCUCUAAGAAAGUUUUAACCAGGUGGUUUCCGUUAACAUGCUAAUUCUUACCAAUGCAAUAUCAUAUUUUCUAUAAAUAAAUAAAAAAGGACAAACAGAAUUAAGCGAGCAGAAGUGAUGCAUUGAUUAUCAUUGUGUCAAAUUAUGUUAACCUUUCUAUUGAUUUGAAGCGUAAAUUAAUAAUUUUAUUUCUCAAUUAAAAAGUAAAAUCAAAAGUGAAAAAUGAAUUAAGUACGGUAAUGAUCCUUGAACUUGAAUCUGAGUUUGACUUUUUCUUUUGGGCCUCCAAUUCAAUUAUUGAGGUGUCAGUGAAAUUUUACGGUGCCUCAG